rnacentral:rRNA from 1 species
UACGUAGGGUGCGAGCGUUGUCCGGAAUUACUGGGCGUAAAGAGCUCGUAGGUGGUUUGUCGCGUUGUUCGUGAAAACCUGAGGCUUAACCUUGGGCGUGCGGGCGAUACGGGCAGACUGGAGUACUGCAGGGGAGACUGGAAUUCCUGGUGUAGCGGUGGAAUGCGCAGAUAUCAGGAGGAACACCGGUGGCGAAGGCGGCCUUCUGGGCCUGUUCUGACGCUGAGGAGCGAAAGCGUGGGGAGCAAACAGG